rnacentral:rRNA from 1 species
AUUGAACGCUGGCGGCAGGCCUAACACAUGCACGUCGAGCGAGCGGCGGACGGGUGAGUACUAUCUGUGAAACUGCCUGAUGUAGGGGGAUAACUCCUGGAAACGGUCGCUAAUACCGCAUACCAUCAGAUGUGCCCAGGUGGGAUUAGCUAGUAGGUGGGGUAACGGCUCACCAAGACUACGAUCCCUAGCUGGUCUGAGAGGAUGACCAGCCAAACUGGAACUGAGACACGGUCCAGACUCCUACGGGAGGCAGCAGUGGGGAAUAUUGCACAAUGGGGGCAAGCCUGAUGCAGCCAUGCCGCGUGUGUGAAGAAGGCCUUCGGGUUGUAAAGCACUUUCAGCGGGGAGGCGUUACCCGCAGAAGAAGCACCGGCUAACUCCGGGCCAGCAGCCGCGGUAAUUC